rnacentral:rRNA from 1 species
UACAGAGGGUGCGAGCGUUAAUCGGAAUUACUGGGCGUAAAGCGUGCGUAGACGGUUAUUUAAGUCGGGUGUGAAAGCCCCGGGCUCAACCUGGGAAUUGCAUUCGAGACUGAAUAGCUAGGGUACGGUAGAGGGAAGUGGAAUUUCCGGUGUAGCGGUGAAAUGCGUAGAUAUCGGAAGGAACAUCAGUGGCGAAAGCGACUUCCAUGGACCAGUACCGACGUUCAGGCACGAAAGCGUGGGGAGCAAACAGGA